GUGCCCAAGCGCAGCCAAUGCACGAGGAAGAAUCCAUUUUCCAGCCAUCAUUUACAGUAAGCCUUAAGGAAAGCAGGCUCAAGAGGAGCAUCAGCCUUUGCAUGGACAGGCUCCAGCGGGACUGGGGACGCGCGGAGCCAGCAGGGACGGCGCUUUGAUCCCAGCCAGCGCUUCCAGCGCGGCUUCCCUGAGCGAUCGCACACGAGGGCUUUGAAACGCGCUCCGCACCAACACCCGUGCCAGGAAAACUCCUUCUCCCGGCUUUUCUGCUGCGAGCAAGCUGCGAUAGGGAUCGCCGAGAAUAAAGUCACUUCAUUUACAAACCGGGGAGCCAAAUCUGAUAGACAUCAACAUUCGAGGGGGAAACCAGAAGGGCUGGGAACCAAAGGAGAAGCCCCAGGAGCACCUUCUCCACACCCUGCAACCAAGAAGUACCGCACAGCAGAAAAAUCCCUUUAUUUAGCCACUUUGGAGAGGCAAAGAUGCUUUUAAUAUACAAUUGCAUCUUGGAAACAUAAAGGCAGCACAUUAAAUAACAAAGCAAUUGACUGCUGGGUCCCUUUGCUGGGCCACAAAAAGCCGGGGCUCACUGGCUAAUUAUUGCCGGGCAUCCCUGUGCCUCUCCAAACAUACCAAUGCUUUCAGAAACCCACUCCAGCUGUGCCUGACAUUUCACUCCUAUUAAAAUUCAUCAUACUCCUGAA